CCUACGGGAGGCAGCAGUAGGGAAUAUUGCUCAAUGGGGGAAACCCUGAAGCAGCAACGCCGCGUGGAGGAUGAAGGUUUUCGGAUUGUAAACUCCUUUUGUUAGAGAAGAUAAUGACGGUAUCUAACGAAUAAGCACCGGCUAACUCCGUGCCAGCAGCCGCGGUAAUACGGAGGGGGCAAGCGUUACUCGGAAUCACUGGGAGUAAAGAGCGCGUAGGCGGGAUAGCAAGUCAGAUGUGAAAGCCUAUGGCUUAACCAUAGAACUGCAUUUGAAACUGGUAUGCUAGAGUAUGGGAGAGGUAGGUGGAAUUCUUGGUGUAGGGGUAAAAUCCGUAGAGAUCAGGAGGAAUACUCAUUGCGAAGGCGACCUACUAGAACAUAACUGACGCUGAUGCGCGAAAGCGUGGGGAGCAAACAGGAUUAGAUACCCUUGUAGUC
rnacentral:rRNA from 1 species